UGACCACAUAUGUACCAACAAAACAGACUAAGGAGAGGUAUGGUCACCCUUGGAAGAACACACAGGUACGGGAAAUUAGCAAUUACAAACAGCGAGCAUAGACCAAGGCUAAAAAAACGAAAAACACUAAAAAUUGUCAACGUUACAAAUUCUUCAAGGCAAAGCUACAGAAAGAAUUCAGGGUUAUUCAUGGAGCAACCAAAUCGAUGGACUACUGAACAGGGAUACACCAACUAAAGCUUAAAUAUUAAAUCAGCAAUUUCAAUCAGUCAACACAAAAGAGGACAUACAUAACAUGCCAUAUAUGGGACCAAGUUCAUUUCCAACUAUGGAUAAUAUCACAGUCAGCCAGGC
rnacentral:lncRNA from 1 species